rnacentral:rRNA from 1 species
CCCAGUAAACGGCGGCCGUAACUAUAACGGUCCUAAGGUAGCGAAAUUCCUUGUCGGGUAAGUUCCGACCCGCACGAAAGGCGUAACGAUUUGGGCACUGUCUCAACGAGAGACUCGGUGAAAUCAUAGUACCUGUGAAGAUGCAGGUUACCCGCGACAGGACGGAAAGACCCCGUGGAGCUUUACUGUAGCCUGAUAUUGAAAUUCGGCACAGCUUGUACAGGAUAGGUAGGAGCCUUUGAAACGUGAGCGCUAGCUUACGUGGAGGCGCUGGUGGGAUACUACCCUAGCUGUGUUGGCUUUCUAACCCGCACCACUUAUCGUGGUGGGAGACAGUGUCAGGCGGGCAGUUUGACUGGGGCGGUCGCCUCCUAAAAGGUAACGGAGGCGCUCAAAGGUUCCCUCAGAAUGGUUGGAAAUCAUUCAUAGAGUGUAAAGGCAUAAGGGAGCUUGACUGCGAGACCUACAAGUCGAGCAGGGUCGAAAGACGGACUUA